rnacentral:rRNA from 1 species
UUCAACCCAUUAUUAGUAUUGAAUGAUUUCAUAAAUUAUGAAAGCCACCAUGCUAGAACUAGUAACAAGAAAAUGAAUUUCUCCAAAGUGUAAGCAAAAACCAAGAUGGACCCUCCAUUGGUAAUUAACGAUUCUGAACAAACUAUAGCAACUCCUCAAGAAAACCCUAUAUACUUCCCCGUUAACCUAACACAAGAACACUUCUGGAAAGAUUAAAAGGAGAAGAAGGAACUCGGCAAACUUUAGCCCCGCCUGUUUACCAAAAACAUCGCCUCUUGUUUAAAUAUAAGAGGUCCAGCCUGCCCAGUGAUAAUUUAUUCAACGGCCGCGUAAUUUAAAGCGCGCAAAGGUAGCGUAAUCACUUGUUCUUUAAAUGGGGACUCGAAUCAACGGCACCACGAGGGCUAUACUGUCUCCUCCCCCCAAUCAGUGAAACUAAUCUCCCUGUGAAAAAGCAGGGAUACCCCUAUAAGACGAGAAGACCCCAUGGAGCUUUAAACAUAACAGCAUCUUUAAAAUUUCCUAUUCCUGCCUUAUUAACAUGAAAGCAUUGUGCGUUAGUUUUAGGUUGGGGCGACCGCGGAGUAUAAAAAAACCUCCAUAACGAAAGGGAAUAAGCCCUUACUUGAGAAAAACAUUUCUAUAAAUUAUUAAUAUAACGUUUAAUGACCCGAUUAUCGAUUAACGAACCAAGUUACCCUGGGGAUAACAGCGCAAUCCAUUUUGAGAGCUCAUAUUGACAAAUGGGUUUACGACCUCGAUGUUGGAUCAGGGUAUCCCAGUGGUGCAGCCGCUACUAAAGG